rnacentral:rRNA from 1 species
UGGGGAAUUUUGGACAAUGGGCGAAAGCCUGAUCCAGCAAUGCCGCGUGUGUGAAGAAGGCCUUCGGGUUGUAAAGCACUUUUGCCCGGAAAGAAAUCCUUGGCUCUAAUACAGUCGGGGGAUGACGGUACCGGAAGAAUAAGCACCGGCUAACUACGUGCCAGCAGCCGCGGUAAUACGUAGGGUGCAAGCGUUAAUCGGAAUUACUGGGCGUAAAGCGUGCGCAGGCGGUUUGCUAAGACCGAUGUGAAAUCCCCGGGCUCAACCUGGGAACUGCAUUGGUGACUGGCAGGCUAGAGUAUGGCAGAGGGGGGUAGAAUUCCACGUGUAGCAGUGAAAUGCGUAGAGAUGUGGAGGAAUACCGAUGGCGAAGGCAGCCCCCUGGGCCAAUACUGACGCUCAUGCACGAAAGCGUGGGGAGCAAACAGGAUUAGAUACCCUGGUAGUCCACGCCCUAAACGAUGUCAACUAGUUGUUGGGGACUUCAUUUCCUUAGUAACGUAGCUAACGCGUGAAGUUGACCGCCUGGGGAGUACGGUCGCAAGAUUAAAACUCAAAUGAAUUGACGGGGUCAUAGCUGUUUCCU